rnacentral:rRNA from 1 species
GGCAACGAUCGGUAACUGGUCUGAGAGGAUGGCCAGUCACACUGGAACUGAGACACGGUCCAGACUCCUACGGGAGGCAGCAGUAGGGAAUAUUGCACAAUGGACGAAAGUCUGAUGCAGCGACGCCGCGUGAGUGAUGAAGGCCUUCGGGUUGUAAAACUCUGUGAUAAGGGAAGAUAAUGACGGUACCUUAUCAGAAAAGACCGGCUAACUUCGUGCCAGCAGCCGCGGUAAUACGAGGGGUCUAAGCGUUGUUCGGAAUCACUGGGCGUAAAGCGGGUGUAGGUGGCUCAGCAAGUUAGAUGUGAAAGCCCCGGGCUCAACCCGGGAAGUGCAUCUAAAACUACUGAGCUUGAGUACGGGAGAGGGAAGCAGAAUUCCUGGUGUAGUGGUGAAAUACGUAGAUAUCAGGAGGAACACCGGUGGCGAAGGCGGUUUCCUGGCCCAGUACUGACACUCAGACCCGAAAGCGUGGGUAGCAAACAGGAUUAGAUACCCU